AAGCCUAUCAAACUAAGAAUGCCGGAGUAUUGAUGUAUGGGAGUCAGACAGUGUGAGAUAAAUCUCAUUGUCAAAAGGGAAACAGCCCAGAUCUACAGCUAAGGUCCCAAAUUGUAUCUAAGUGGAAAACGAUGUGGAAAUACGCAGACAACCAGGAUGUUGGCUCAGAAGCAGCCACUCAUUUAAAGAGUGCGUAAUAGCUCACUGGUCGAGCGUCUCUGCGCGGAAAAUUUAACGGGGCUAAGAUACAAACCGAAGCUUAGGCUGCAUCGUAAGAUGCGGGGUAGGGGAGCGUUGUGUAAGCGGAGAAACAGUAGCGUAAGCGGCUGUGGAGUUUACAGAAGUGAGAAUGCCGGAAUGAGUAGCGCGAAUGUGGUGAGAAUCCACAUGGCCGGAAACCUCAGGUUUUUGGAGGAAGGUUCGUCCGCUCCAAGUUAGGCGGGAGCUAAGGUCAGGCCGAAAGGCGUAGCCGAUGCACAGACGGUAGAGAUUCCGUCCCCACCGAAAGAUUUAAGCACAGGGACACUUUUUGAAGGUCGGAGCCAGGUGUUGGUUCUGGUAGUGAUCGAGGGAAAUAUAGUACCGAAGUCCGGCUGGAGAAGAGGCGAGAAAAGCUGUGUGUAUAUCUAAGGUGCCCGUACCGCAAACCGACACAGGUAGGUAGGAAGAAGAUUCUAAGGCCAACGGGAGAAGGGUUGUUAAGGAACUCGGCAAGUUGACCCCGUAACUUCGGAAUAAGGGGUGCUCACGAGAGUGAGCCGCAGAGAAUAGGCCCAGGCAACUGUUUACCAAAAACACAGGUUUGUGCUAAAUCGAAAGAUGACGUAUACGAGCUGACGCCUGCCCGGUGCUGGAAGGUUAAAAGGAGAUGUGCAAGCAUUGAAUUGAAGCCCCAGUGAACGGCGGCCGUAACUAUAACGGUCCUAAGGUAGCGAAAUUCCUUGUCAGGUAAGUUCUGACCCGCAUGAAAGGCGUAAUGAUCUGGGCACUGUCUCAACAGCCCGCCCGGCGAAAUUGUAGUACCGGUGAAGAUGCCGGUUACCCGCGACAAGACGGAAAGACCCCAUGGAGCUUUACUGUAGCCUAAUAUUGGGUUUCGAUGUUGCAUGCACAGGAUAGAUGGGACACAGGGAAACAAGUGCUUUGGCAUUUGUGGAGUGGCCGUUGGGAUACCAUCCUUGCGAUAUUGGAAUUCUAACCUGCGCCUUUGAAUCAAGGCGGGGGACAUUGUUAGGUGGGCAGUUUGACUGGGGCGGUCGCCUCCUAAAGAGUAGCGGAGGCGUUCAAAGGUUGGCUCGUCCUGGACGGAAACCAGGAGAGAGAGUGCAAACGCAAAAGCCAGCCUGACUGCGAGACUGACGGGUCGAGCAGAGACGAAAGUCGGAGUUAGUGAUCCGGUGGUAUGUGAGUGGAAAUGCCAUCGCUCAACGGAUAAAAGUUACCCUGGGGAUAACAGGCUGAUCUCCCCCAAGAGUCCACAUCGACGGGGAGGUUUGGCACCUCGAUGUCGGCUCAUCGCAUCCUGGGGCUGUAUUCGGUCCCAAGGGUUUGGCUGUUCGCCAAUUAAAGCGGUACGCGAGCUGGGUUCAGAACGUCGUGAGACAGUUCGGUCCCUAUCUGUCGUGGGCGCAGGAUAUUUGAAAGGCGCUGUCCCUAGUACGAGAGGACCGGGAUGGACGAACCUCUGGUGCACCAGUUGUCACGCCAGUGGCACAGCUGGGCAGCUAUGUUCGGAUCGGAUAAACGCUGAAAGCAUCUAAGCGUGAAGCCGGCCUUAAGAUAAGAUAUCCCACUGAGAUAAUCAGGUAAGACCCCUUGA
rnacentral:rRNA from 1 species